rnacentral:rRNA from 1 species
CAGUAGCCGCGGUAACACAGAGGGUGCGAGCGUUAAUCGGAUUUACUGGGCGUAAAGCGUGCGUAGGCGGCUUCUUAAGUCGGAUGUGAAAUCCCUGAGCUUAACUUAGGAAUUGCAUUCGAUACUGGGAAGCUAGAGUAUGGGAGAGGAUGGUAGAAUUCCAGGUGUAGCGGUGAAAUGCGUAGAGAUCUGGAGGAAUACCGAUGGCGAAGGCAGCCAUCUGGCCUAAUACUGACGCUGAGGUACGAAAGCAUGGGGAGCAAACAGGAUUAGAUACCCGAGUAGUCCCUGUCUCUUAUAC